ACCAGCCAACCCUAGAGCCUCUCCAGUCUCCACUGCUCGGCCGCCGCCUGCCGCAGCCCGCCGUCCACUGGUCCCGCCUCCCGGCGUCCGCUCCACGCCUCCACUGCUCCCGGCGUCCGCUCCAUUGCUACCAUCGUCCGGCGUUCUGCUCCUGCGCCCUCCCUUUGAUUCGUUGCCAGUUGUAGUGUCCGGGCAGAUUUGAGCUGUGGCAGCAAGCAAGGAUUGACGAAGCGUGCGUUCCCAUCGCACCACCAUGGGCUACACAGAGAUCGACAUCCACCCCUCUGGGAGCGGCAAGGUACCGACCCCCUGCCCUUACAACUCCUAGAGCUCUACCCCUCACGCUGACCUUAGGGAGACAGGAUGGUUUGCUCGCCUACUAGAGGACAUGCUCUGAUGGUGUUCCCUCUGCUACCAUUUUUAGUUCUUGAUUGUAAAGUGUAUGUUCUACAUUUUGAAAUAGAACUGGAUUGUGCAUAUUUUGUUCUACAUGUAAAGUGUAUGUUCUACAUGUACCUUUUAGAUCGCUUGCAAUAUGAUUUAUUUUAACACAUAUUUGAAAUAGAACUGGAUUGUGCAUAUUUUGUAAAGUGUAUGUUCUACAUUUUGUAAUUCGUAUUAUUCAUUUUUCCUUUAGUUUUUCUCUUUCUACAACUCCUGUCUCUUUACAAUCAAAUUUCAGAUGUGAUAGAUAUUAGUAUGAAAGAUAAAAACUAGAAUGCUAUGCCUGUCAGAGGAGCUUUCUUCAGUUUCAGGUACUGCUCUGCUUUAUUAGUCAUCCAGCCGAUGGAUAAUUUCUAUACGUGUAUCGCCCCUGCACUUUCAAACACAUGUUCAUUGUUUCCAAUCACAUAAUUUUUUUCUUCUCUUAGAUUUACUAUGUGGUUGUGGUCUCAGUUUGGUUUGUAGGUUAAUUUGUAUACUCAUGUGAUUUUAGUUUUUCCGUGUAUUUUAUGUUCAUUUAGUAUGUCUUAAUUUAGUUACUUUCAAUUCUUGAUGCUAAUAAUAUGGAUAGAUUGCGACACUACUUUCUGGCUUGAGCAGAAAUGAGUUUGUUGUAUAUAGCAGAAUAUAGUUGUCGUAGCUGGCAACAAUGACCGCUCUUUGGAUGAUCUGAAAACUAUUCUGUAGUCAGGUAGUUAAAUAUAGCUGAAUAUCCAUUAUUAUGUUUUAUUAAUCUUAUUUGUUUUUUCUGUCAAAAGAACACACCUCUCCAUCUUUCGGUGCUUGGUGGAUCACCGUCUAAACGAUCCACCACCAGAACCGCCCAACCCCAAGAUAGCUCCAUCUCAGUCGUUGUACCCGUUCAAUGGCGAGCUGGUGGCAGCGAUGUAGGAGAUGAUCCAUGCCGAGGUGCACAAGUACAUGUUAGUGGACGGCACCUGCCAAAGAUACACCGUUUCUACUGACAAUCCGUCUUUUUUAUUGCUUAUGGCGUUGUGCAUUAUACAUGUCCACCAAUUAUAUACAAAUACCAUUUGUGGGUUACCUCUGGUGUGUUUAGGUGCGAGCUGCAAUCAAAGUUAAGGCAUUAGUCAUCAUUUGCUUCACCUCUUCUGGACAGGCUGCAAGGGUGUUCUGGACAAAGAAAGCUUGUACCUUAAAACAAGAGGAUACAAGAAGCUGGAGUGGUUGUCUAAAGGCUUUUGAACUGCUUGAAGCAUUAGUGUAGCUUUGGUGAUUUUGUGACUGAUCAGCUCUGGAGCAGCUAGAGUGAUGUAGUUGUGGGCUUUUGAACAAUAGCUGGAGUGAUAUGAAACAUUAGUGAUGUGGUUGUGGGCUUUUGAACUGCUUCAAGCUGGAGUGAUGUCGCUGUGUUGCUUUUGUGACUGAUCAUCUCUGGAGCUUUUGUGAAUGAUCUAACUAGCUAUAUGUAAAUGAUCUAGUUGUGAAUGGUAUUAUAAUUGUGAUGAUUUUGUGAA